rnacentral:rRNA from 1 species
CGAACGUGGGUAACCUGCCUUAUAGUGGGGGAUAGCCUUUCGAAAGGAAGAUUAAUACCGCAUAAGAUUGUAGUAUCGCAUGAUAUAGCAAUUAAAGGAGCAAUUCGCUAUAAGAUGGACCCGCGUCGCAUUAGCUAGUUGGUGAGGUAAUGGCUCACCAAGGCGACGAUGCGUAGCCGACCUGAGAGGGUGAUCGGCCACAUUGGGACUGAGACACGGCCCAGACUCCUACGGGAGGCAGCAUG